GGUUGAAGGUUGGGUAACACUAACUGGAGGACCGAACCGACUAAUGUUGAAAAAUUAGCGGAUGACUUGUGGCUGGGGGUGAAAGGCCAAUCAAACCGGGAGAUAGCUGGUUCUCCCCGAAAGCUAUUUAGGUAGCGCCUCGUGAAUUCAUCUCCGGGGGUAGAGCACUGUUUCGGCAAGGGGGUCAUCCCGACUUACCAACCCGAUGCAAACUGCGAAUACCGGAGAAUGUUAUCACGGGAGACACACGGCGGGUGCUAACGUCCGUCGUGAAGAGGGAAACAACCCAGACC
rnacentral:rRNA from 1 species